rnacentral:rRNA from 1 species
GAUAUAGCUGGUUUUCUGCGAAAUCUGUUUUAGCAAAUUAUUUAUUUUAUUAUUAGUAGGUAUAGCACUGAAUAUUUUUUUUUUCAAUAGAGGGAGUAUUAAUUUACUUAUCUAGAAUAUUUAAUCUCAGAAUGGCUAAUAAGUUAGGUAAAUAAUCGGACUUUUUGCGAUAAGGUAUAAAGUCUAAAGGGAAACAGCCCAGAACAGUA